CCGCCUGAGAGGGUGGACGGCCACACUGGGACUGAGACACGGCCCAGACUCCUACGGGAGGCAGCAGUGGGGAAUAUUGCACAAUGGGCGCAAGCCUGAUGCAGCGACGCCGCGUGAGGGAUGAAGGCCUUCGGGUUGUAAACCUCUUUCAGUAGGGAAGAAGCGAAAGUGACGGUACCUGCAGAAGAAGCGCCGGCUAACUACGUGCCAGCAGCCGCGGUAAUACGUAGGGCGCAAGCGUUAUCCGGAAUUAUUGGGCGUAAAGAGCUCGUAGGCGGUUUGUCGCGUCUGCCGUGAAAGUCCGGGGCUUAACCCCGGAUCUGCGGUGGGUACGGGCAGACUUGAGUGAUGUAGGGGAGACUGGAAUUCCUGGUGUAGCGGUGAAAUGCGCAGAUAUCAGGAGGAACACCGAUGGCGAAGGCAGGUCUCUGGGCAUUAACUGACGCUGAGGAGCGAAAGCAUGGGGAGCGAACAGGAUUAGAUACCCUGGUAGUCCAUGCCGUAAACGUUGGGCACUAGGUGUGGGGGACAUUCCACGUUUUCCGCGCCGUAGCUAACGCAUUAAGUGCCCCGCCUGGGGAGUACGGCCGCAAGGCUAAAACUCAAAGGAAUUGACGGGGGCCCGCACAAGCGGCGGAGCAUGCGGAUUAAUUCGAUGCAACGCGAAGAACCUUACCAAGGCUUGACAUGAACCGGAACGGCGCAGAGAUGUGUCGGCCACUUGUGGCCGGUUUACAGGUGGUGCAUGGUUGUCGUCAGCUCGUGUCGUGAGAUGUUGGGUUAAGUCCCGCAACGAGCGCAACCCUCGUUCCAUGUUGCCAGCGGGUUAUGCCGGGGACUCAUGGGAGACUGCCGGGGUCAACUCGGAGGAAGGUGGGGACGACGUCAAAUCAUCAUGCCCCUUAUGUCUUGGGCUUCACGCAUGCUACAAUGGCCGGUACAAAGGGUUGCGAUGCUGUGAGGUGGAGCUAAUCCCAAAAAGCCGGUCUCAGUUCGGAUUGAGGUCUGCAACUCGACCUCAUGAAGUCGGAGUCGCUAGUAAUCGCAGAUCAGCAACGCUGCGGUGAAUACGUUCCCGGGCCUUGUACACACCGCCCGUCAAGUCACGAAAGUUGGUAACACCCGAAGCCGGUGGCCUAACCCGUAAGGGGGGAGCCGUCGAAG
rnacentral:rRNA from 1 species